UUCUACAAGCAAUUUUUCUCCAAUUUACAGUGAUAACACUUUUUCUAAAAAGAAAUCUGACUACGAAGGUACUUUAGAGUGGUCAUUUUUUGAUUUGUCAAGAGUUUUCCAGCAAAUGUAAAAAUCCGGGAAAAUAACACGGGAAAACCGGAAAAAACAUAGGAAAACCAGAAAAUCGAUACAAUAUUAAACAAAUAUUAUUAAAGAGAAUAUAUUAUUUAAUUAUUUUUUUAUAAUAUGAUAUAUAUAUAUAUAUGUUGACAAAGCAUCACUAUCAACCGAAUUGCGCUCAGAAUCGUUUUUUAUUAGUAAAGGUUUAUUGUUGCUUACAGAUAUACAUUAAAUUUCCUUUUAUAUUCUAUCUUCCCAACUUCUCAACUACAACAGUGGCUGUACCUAUGUGGGCGAAGCACGUUCGUCUUUUCUUAUAUACGCGCGGUGCUGACGCGUUCAAAAGACCGGAUAAUAAUAAUGCGGUAAUAUACGUAUAAUUUAAUACAAAUUGAUUGCCGGGCCAUUAUUUUACGGGCCAUAAAAGAUCGCUGUUUCUCUAUAAAUGUAAUAUAUGUAGAGGGGGGCCACCCACGUCGGCCAUAUUAUACGAGAUUCGAGUUAUCGUCAGCGAUCUUCACCUUCACGCUAUAGAUCGUUUUUUGAAUUUUUAACACGUCGUUAUACAACGUACAAAGUGUUUAAUAAAUUGGCUGAUUUGAUAGGAAAACGACCAUUUUUUUUUUUUUAAGACACCUAUACCUAUAGCUUCAAUACGGAUUUAUGUAUUCAGCACGGUUUCCCGCUACAUUAAUACAAAUAAUUAUUGUAAUGGUUUUCCAAUCACGUUUGCAACUGAGGCGUCUGUAAAAUUAUAACGACAAUAAUAAUACAGCGGUCGCCUCGAGAUUUUCGAUAAACCGGUGUUAACUUGUACUACACACAGGGUAAUACUUUUGUCGUGAACUAGCGAUUAGGUAACUGUGUAGAUUUUGGUUUUUUUUUUCAGUUUCUUAAUCCACAUCUCAUUUUACGAUAGUAUUUCAAAUCUAUGUUUAGAUAUCACUUCCCUACUCCUAGAGCUGACGUAAACGAACAUCUAUAGAUGGGUAUGGUCGAAAUUCGCUGGCUUCUAAUACCAGAUUUACCGAUUCCAAUAAACGAAUUCGAAGACAAUACAAAGUAAUAAAUAAAUAAAAAAAAAAAAACACAAAUAAGAAAUUAUAAAUUUUGAUGAAUUUAUAAUAAAAUUAUCAUUGAACUGCCCACUUAGUAGUCUAAAUGUUCAAGUUUGGGAAGAUAAUAAUCCCUCACCCUCUCAUCAUCAUAGCUGAUUCUGUAUCAUCAGGCCUAAAUUUUAAACUAAUACAAAUAAAAUGGUCGUAGAGAAUAAUCUCUUCGAAAAAUGUUUAAUAUGCUAAGUGUCUGUACUCUGAAGGUAAUUUUUCAUUGUAGACAAUAAUGUCCUUAUUUAAAUGUAAUAAUAAAGAUGAAAAUACAUCAUUUUAUAGCUAAAAUACUUUCU